rnacentral:rRNA from 1 species
GAUGAACGCUGGCGGCGUGCUUAACACAUGCAAGUCGAACGAGAAGUGAAGACGGAAACCUUCGAGCGGAAGGCUUUAUUUCGAGUGGCGGACGGGUGAGUAACGCGUGGGUAACCUGCCUCAUACAGGGGGAUAACAGUUGGAAACGACUGUUAAUACCGCAUAAGACCACAGCACCGCAUGGUGCGGGGGUAAAAACUCCGGUGGUAUGAGAUGGACCCGCGUUCGAUUAGCCAGUUGGCGGGGUAACGGCCCACCAAAGCGACGAUCGAUAGCCGAUCUGAGAGGAUGACCGGCCACAUUGGGACUGAGACACGGCCCAAACUCCUACGGGAGGCAGCAGUGGGGAAUAUUGCACAAUGGGGGAAACCCUGAUGCAGCGACGCCGCGUGAGUGAAGAAGUAUUUCGGUAUGUAAAGCUCUAUCAGCAGGGAAGAAAAUGACGGUACCUGAGUAAGAAGCCCCGGCUAACUACGUG